UACGUAGGGGGCGAGCGUUGUCCGGAUUUAUUGGGCGUAAAGAGCUCGUAGGCGGCUUGGCAAGUCGGGUGUGAAAACUCCAGGCUCAACCUGGAGACGCCACUCGAGACUGCUAUGGCUAGAGUCCGGUAGGGGACCACGGAAUUCCUGGUGUAGCGGUGAAAUGCGCAGAUAUCAGGAGGAACACCGGUGGCGAAGGCGGUGGUCUGGGCCGGCACUGACGCUGAGGGGCGAAAGCGUGGGGAGCAAACAGG
rnacentral:rRNA from 1 species